rnacentral:rRNA from 1 species
UAGGGAAUCUUCGGCAAUGGGGGCGAACCCUCGACCGACGCAACGCCGCGUGAGUGAAGAAGGUUUUCGGAUCGUAAAGCUCUGUUGUAAGAGAAGAACGUGUGUGAGAGUGGAAAGUUCACACAGUGACGGUAACUUACCAGAAAGGGACGGCUAACUACGUGCCAG